GCGGGGAGGCGGGCCGGCCCCGCGGAGCGGCGCGGCUGUCACAGGCACCGGGCGCGCUGCAGGUGGCAACUUGGAGGUGCCGGGGACAUCGCUACGGGAGGAUCCCGGGUCUGGCGGCCCCUUUUCAGCCUCCCAGAGCCCUUUCCCGCUGCCGAGCCCGAGACUGGACUCGGGAGACUCGGAAGAGGGAAGCCGCUGCGCAGGUACCUGUGAGCAGCCCUGCCUCUCGCUGCCCUUGCGCUACUUUUUUUCUUCGAGGAAGAUAGUACCUGGGGGCUGCGAAGACUAGGGAGGAAGGCUCGGGAGACUCAGAAAAUUGCCAAAUGACAUUGGUUGAUGGGAAAGUCUCUUGGGCUUCCCAGUGCCUGUGUGCACACAUCUCGUGUGACUUUGUUGCAGUUGGUCCUCCAGUGUUAGAGAGAAAGCCCUGAGGUGUUCUAUUAGCAGCACACAGCCACCAGUGAAACAACAGUGAAUCAGCGUGAAUGACAAAGUUACUGUUGCUGUUGGUUUUCUAUUCCUCUUUUGAAUUUAUAUGACCUCUAAUAGUAGUUCUACAUUACAAAGUAAUUAGAAAAUGUCCCGCAUAGCUUGAAACUGAAUUUCCCAAGGCUCUUUGUUUGGUUGUUUCUAUAAAUCACAUGCCACAAAUAUUCAUAGCUGCAUUUGUGGAAGAUAACAUGUAUUUAUUUUUGUGAUGUUGACAAUGAUUCUAAUAUAAAUGCAUUGGAAAUGGUGCAUUGUUGAUGGAUUUGUAUUAAAUUAGUCAUGACUCCUGACAUUAGAGCUUCCAGUUUCAAUUGGUCCUUGGUAGAUGUUUUCAAAGCUCAAGGAAGCAAACUAUUAAAUCUCAAACUCUAACUCUGCUCUCCCAAAGCUGAGCAACAAUGAUGUUCCAGGGUACUCACUCCUCCACUGGGCUCCUGCAGCAGGGACCAGGGCCGGGAGACAGGUGAUGUCUGCUGAGCAUUUCUUGCUAUGGAAUGGAGACUAGAAAGCAUGGAGGUUUUGAAUACAAAAGUUAGAUUUUUAAAUACUUUUCUCUAGUUCCCAAGCAUGUGGGAAGUAGCCUUCUAAGAAAAGCCUUUGAUGAGCAUGGUAUUAUAGAAGAGGCUAGUUCUGUAUCAUCUCUACAUUUCUUUAAGCUUUUUGCAGGGCUGAUUGCGGG